AGGCGUUCCCUCGGACACGGUUCAUGGCACACCUCUGACUGCUUUGCUAAGUUUAAGGUUUUCUUACAGUUGUUUAUGGUAAAAUGAAAAGUGUUAUUACAAAGCACAAUUGGUUCCACAAAAAGCAAGCCCUCAUAUGGUCCUGUUGAUGGAGAAAUAAGAGUUAUGCCUCUCAAAAGGCGAGGAGGAAAAAACUAAAAUGCUAUAAAGUUGUUGGUGUAUGGAUUCUGAAGUCAAAGCGGACGCUUAGAGUAGGCAAAGAUGUGGUGAGUCUGGUGGAUGACCUGCCCAUCGGAGUCGGUUGGGCAGUACCGCAUGGAUUUUGACAAAGAAUUUGUGUGCCUUUAAGGCUGGUUUGAUAUGCUAAUUUAAAAUAAAACCUGUGACAGACCCCUACCCACUUA